rnacentral:rRNA from 1 species
GAUGAACGCUGGCGGCGUGCCUAAUACAUGCAAGUCGAGCGAACAGACGAGGAGCUUGCUCCUCUGACGUUAGCGGCGGACGGGUGAGUAACACGUGGAUAACCUACCUAUAAGACUGGGAUAACUUCGGGAAACCGGAGCUAAUACCGGAUAAUAUAUUGAACCGCAUGGUUCAAUAGUGAAAGACGGUUUUGCUGUCACUUAUAGAUGGAUCCGCGCCGCAUUAGCUAGUUGGUAAGGUAACGGCUUACCAAGGCAACGAUGCGUAGCCGACCUGAGAGGGUGGUGGCCCACACUGGAACGGGGACGCGGUCCAGAUCCCUAGGGGGGGCAGGGAGAGGAAUUCUUCCCAAAGGGGCGAAAGCUUGAAGGGGAAACGCCGGGUGAGUGAAGAAGGUCUUCGGAUCGUAAAACUUUGUUUUUAGGGAAAAAAAAAUUUGUAAAUAACUUUGCCCGUUUUAACGGAACCAAAACAAAAGACCCCGGCCAACUACGG